GUAAGAGCCUCUGAGAUGCUCUGCAAAUCCUGCCCUCCCAACUGUCUUCUCCUCCAUGCUCUUUUCUAACCCUCGCAUCCACCUCACAGGCACUUUGCCUACGUUAUGCAGUGCUCCAAUAGCUUAGGAGAUGGAUCCAGGAGAAGAACAUGAUUCCUUCAGCACCUGUAACUAUCCACGUUCUUCACCGUGAAUCAUAGGGACCCCUGUAUAAAAAAGAGGGAGAAGGUGCAGCUAGGUGCCUCAGUGUAUAGGGACCAAGCCCCCGAGUUCAGAGAACCUGGGUUCAAAUCCAGCCUCAGACACUCCUUAGCUGUAUAAGUAUGACCCUGGGCAAGUCACAGCCUCAACUGCCUAGCCCUCACCACUCUUCUGCCUCAGAACUGGUACUUAGGAAUAAUUUUAGGACAGAAGUAAUGCUGUUACUUAGGAUACAGAGUGGUUUGGUACCCUGCAUUCAUCUCUGAACAUCUUGGUGCUGUCCAUCAUCCUGGUGCUGAACUUUCAGCUAUGUUCAUCUUCCUCAUAGCCACUGGCUCUCAUGUAAGCAAUAUUCCUUCCCUCCAAACCCCCUAAGGACUAUGAUUCCUCUUCCUCCCUUUGCCUCCCUGUGAAAGUUGUGUGUGUGUGUGUGUGUGUGUGUGUGUGUGUGUGUGUGUGAGAGAGAGAGAGAGAGAGAGAGAGAGAGAGAGGGAGGGAGAGGGAGGGAGAGAGAGAGAGAUUGAUUGAGAGAGAGAUUGAUUGAGAGAAAGACAGACAGUCAGACAGAGAGCUCUGGUCCUGGUCCUGGUCUCUAUAGACUUUCCCAGUUUCCACCAUUUAUUGUUGUGUUUGGAGGGGACUUUCCAUGGGGUUGUCAAAAUUGCACAAUAUACUACAGUCUGCUGUUACUUGGCUCCCUUCCUUUGUUAGCUAUUCUACAUAGCUAAGGUGUUGUGCCAUAUGUCUCCAUGAUUCUGUGGAACAUAGACCCAGUCGUUGUGGAAAAGCUGAGGAAAGUUGGAUAAUUAGAGCUGACUGUGGUAAAACUCACAUAAUACUUCCCUCCAUUAGUAGCACUGGAUUUUGCAGCAUGUGGAAUACCAUGAUACAUCAUAUUUAAGCAGAAGACAAGGUCAAUAGGUUUAGUUAGUAUAGCUCACUUGUGCCUUUGCUGAUCUAGAGUGUGCCCAGAGUCUA
rnacentral:lncRNA from 1 species